rnacentral:sRNA from 1 species
GGGCAGGGCGCUUAGGGUUCCGUUGCCGCGAAUGGCAGGUCUGGUCCGAGAAGCGCCACCCGGGCGGCAAAUUCCGCCUCGGGCACACGGCGGGCCAAAAUCCCGGGAGAG